AGUCGAACCACAGCAAGCCAGAAAAGGGAGCUGAACAAGGGCUCCAGGUAUUUGUCAGUCGGAAUGGGACUGUGUGCAUCUCUCAAGCACACUUUCUCUUCUCCACCCACGGGGGGGAGGCUAUGAUGGUGGUUAGCUUGAGUACUGUGUGAAGGAUCACUCAAGGCCGCCAACAAAAGAACGCCUGCAGAGGUGGAUGGUGUCUCUUGGGACUGGUGUCAUGGAAGACAGAGAACCGAAAGAGUAGAUGCAGCCAGAGCCAAUGAAAGGAACAAAACGCCUUCAAGUUUUCUCCCCACCCUCUUCCCUGAUGAGUUCUACAAUGGCAACACAGACACUAAGGAAGAGAGGGGACUUGACAGGCUUUGAACGGAUAUGCAGCCGAGAGGAAAAAGUGGAGAUUUUCUAGCCAGCGAGAGGAAGGUUCUUGCUGCUUUGCUGACAGCAAAGUGGCUGCGUUUCCUGGGACAUUCCUUGAAAAACCUCCCCUUUAAAUGAGUUUUGUGGUCCACUUUCUCUGUAGCGUGAGGCUGGUUGACCAUUCCCUAGUGCCAAAUGACCUCACAUUCAGAGGCAAGCAACAGAAAGUGUUGCUACCGCUUAUAACCUACCUCAGCAGUUGCUAGAUCUAGGAUAGGCAUAACUAUAUCCUGUAUACUAAAAGGAAACUCAUUUGCUGAGUGCCAAUCCUUAUGCAGCCAAAACAACACCAUUCAUGCACAAGAACAUACUCCUUAAGGGAGAAACCCCAAAAGAGCCCAAUGAGGAGUGAGCCUGCUCAGUGAUCAUGGGAUGAUGAUUGACUGUUGGAGGAGGAAUGGGAAACUGGGUGGUGGUGGAAUGGAGUCUCUUAGAAGAGGGCAUGGCUGGCUAGAUGGCUGGCUGGCUGGAACUCUGAACAGGAGCCCUUGACACUUCAACAUUUUGUUGCUGGGCCCACUUGUAAUUGGAAGGCAAACAAGUGAAUAAGGAAAAGGACCAGAUGAAAGGAAGCAACAAAGAAAUGUCUGGGAAGAAUGUGGUGAGCAAGGGUCUCAGUAGGAGGGAAAGCGAGCUGUGAUGUAGGUGGGUGGGAAAUAGGAAGCACCACAUUUGAGGAAGAAAAGUGUGAGUAAAAAAAAAUAAAAAUUAAAUCACUGAAUCAUAAGAUGUUUAUGACCACAAAAGGUAUAUCCCAUCUACUUAGAUUUUAAAAAUGCAUGAAGAUGAUCCGCUCGCUUUCUGCGAAGGAGCUCUCGCAGCCCAAAAUACAUUAUACAAAAAUCAAUAUUCAUCACCAUGGGUUAGGCAAUGGAUGGUGAAUCACCCUGCUGGUGUCUGUCUGUAUGAGAAUAGACUUUCUUUUCUUGGAGGCUGCAUACAUGCAAAAUGUGAUCCAUGUGUAAUAAAGGAAAGACAGGCAACAGAAGAACAAGUCAGACUAUAAGUGAAUACUGAACGUGGACAUAUUUCAGUGAGGGGGGGGGAACUUUGAUCUCUAAUCUGAGGAAACUGGUAUGAGGUUGGUGGGGAUGGGAGACUCUUUGCAAAAAUCGCUUGGCUGGCAAACUGCACUAAAUUCAGAGAAGUGCAAAACGUAAAGGAUGCUCAUGCUUUGAUUCUCCUACCAUUUUGCAAAAAUGCGAACUGCCUUCAAAGUCGAAUUGAAUCACCCUUGAAUUUCCCCCACCCUUAGUGGCUGGUGCAGUGCAAAUCUUGAACAACUUUAUGACAACAGAGGGUUGCCCAACGAUGAACAAUCUGCCAGUCUGUGCUUUGAGGAGUCUGAAUGUUCCUUUGUAAGUGGGCCCAUCUUCAUGAGUGAGCAACUGUGUACUCCCAUGGACCUAAACUGGUUUCAAAUCAGGCACUCCAAGUUCAUUCCCUUAUGGACAGACACCAGAUUCUAAAUGGAAGGACCCUGCUAUCUGAAAUGAGUUGGGUCCCUGUCUCCCAAUUCCAGGGGGAUGGCUGACUACAUGUGCAUAUUAGAGUCAAUGCAGGUUAGGGCAAAGGUAGGUGACAUUUUUUUUCUGUUCAGGGUUGUGCUUCAUCAGGUGGGAUCCGUAAAGAGCCAUAUUCCAGUGGUACCCAAUUAUUUAUCUGCUCACCACUCUCAUGAAAUUAGGUCAAGGACCUUGCGAAAACAGGCUGAGGGUCAUAGGUUGCCCAUCCCACAGGUGAGAGCAUCAGACUCACGCAAAGGAGAGAUCCAUGUUCAGAUUCCUACUUAGCAAUAAACCUCAGCAGGUGGACUUGGAAUAGUUGCUCUCUCUUUCAGCUUAGCCUACCUUGCAGCAAUAUGUUAUAUUUAAAUAGUUUUUAUAUUCAUUGUAAGCCGCCCAGAGAACUUUAUUGGGGGGGGGGUGUUGUACAAGCACCAUUAAAUAAAUGAAUAAGUGUGUGUGGGAUUUUAGGCUGCUUCCAUGACCUAAUGGGAGGCAUCUUUAAUAGAACACCCAUCAUGAAAAGGAUUUGGAUAACUGAGCUUACUUUUCCCUCUUCCAUUAUUUGUUUUUCUCUCUUUUCUACCAAUAGCCUACUUCCUUCAACUUCCAGAACAUCCUUUAGGCUGCCUUAAGGCAGGAGUGAGCAGACUUCAGACUUCUGGGAUCUACUUUGCCUAUUAGGAGACCCCCAAGAUUCACCAAAACUAAGGACAGGUGCAAAAGACAAGGAACCGAAGAAUUUUGCAGAGAGGAAUUUAUUUUGUUCUGUGUACCAGAACUUGGAUGGAGUCCUUUCACACAAAAAUCCAUUCCUAGUUCUCACCUUGAGUGUUUGGUUCCACCCCCUGCCCCAUCUGAGCAGUGUAAUUCAGGGCACGAGAGAUUAAUUUUGUCACUGUUGCUGUUGUUAAACAAUUGGGAGAAAAAUGCUUGCAGAGCUACUGCAAAUUAGAGACUACCAGUAUAUCCCAGUCUACAUUUUGCUCACCUUUGUGGAGGGUUGAAUAUUAAGAUCUCCUCCUGAUUUUUUAACCAAAGAAUUUUGACCAAGGGAUUUGAGGAGAAAGGGAAUGGAUUUAGCAGAACCCACACUAUGAUCAUAAAUCUGCUUCUUCCUCUACCCCAAAACUAAGUCCCUUCAGCUGCCAGAGCAGCCACUGACCCCUUCUCUGGAUCUCAGCCAUGAGAGAUGGAUCUGUGUGAGCCUGGCGCCCUUCGGCUUGAUCUGAAGUUUCAGCUGCCCAUUCCAUAAAGUAAGGUUGCUGUUCUAUGCAUGCCAACUUGGGACUAUUUGAAUUCAGUAGGACUGCCUUCUGGGUAAACAUGCAUAAGGGUUAGGCUGUAGGUUUCAUAUGCAGCCCAACCCAUUGGACAAAUCAGGACUGGGACUAGGGCAAGGAGUUUAACCCUUUCCCCCACCACCUCAAUGCCAUUACAGUCCUGACAACACCACACACACCUUUCCUAAAGCUGCUUUUGGCUUCCAUUGGUGCCAGUACAUUCCUAUAUUACUUCAUGCCACAAAUUGCAGCACUUGAGUUUAUGAAAUCUGAAGAUGUUCCUUUGUUAGCCCUGGAACAGAAUGGUGUGAAACGGCCAUUAAAAGCCUUCCUAUGCUAAAGGAAGCGGUACUGCUGUACAGAAAUCCAUUACUGAAUAUACAGUUUGGGGAAAAAUCAAGCUCAGAUGAAGUGCCCUGUAACUUUCAUAAUGAUAAAACUUACCCAUGUUAAUAAUCUUUGGGGAUCUUUUCAAGGAAGAAACAUCACAGUUUCUCUAGAAUUAUAGACUUUGUUAAGGAUGACACUCUGGCUUAAUUUGAAACAUUAAGUGAACCAUUACAAUGCAGGGGAACAUAAUGUUUCCAUCCAUAUUUCACAUUAGGCAUAUUAUUCAAUAUAUAAUGAGAGUGUUCAGUGAUGGCAGAGUUAAGCUGACCUCCUCAGGAGCCAUAUAUAAGAGGAACACUAUCAACAUUUUAUAUUCUUGUUGGUAGAAAUAAAAUAAAAAAUAGUAGAAAAAAAGUGUCUAAGAUGAAAGGGGAAAUGUCCAAGACUUUUGGAAAUAUCAGAAUCUAUGUGGUUCUCAAAGGAAAACACUUUAAAGGGCUGCAAUAAUCAGGGGGCUAGAUGCGGCCCUCCAGUCCUCCCUAUCUGGCCCUCAAGACUUUCCCCAGGCCACACCUCUCAGUGGCCCUGCUUCGCACCUUCCUUGAGUAAUUUUACCUGGCUGGAAUGCGUCCUUGAACUCUGAUAAUGCUUCUUGCUUGCCUGCAUGGAAAGGCAUGUGUUGAGUGGGUAGAAAUUAACAAGAUUAAUUACCCCCCCCCUCACUAGAAGGUGGAUACUGAGGAAUACUGAGGAAUGGGCACCGGGAGAAGCUGGGUUGGAGACUGGCUUGGAAGAAAGGAUUUGUGAUCUGGGGGAGUCAAGAGGUGGGCGUCAGAGGCAGGAGAAGCUGAAGGACUGCAGAAUGAAGAACAGGUGCAAGAGCCAGGUCAGGCUGAUACUUUUUUGUAUACCACAGCUGUUGCGAGGACUUCGUUGGCCCAAAAAUGGAAAUCACAAGAAAUUCCUACUAUUGCGGAGUGGCAGGCGAAAGUGAUGGAUUAUGAGGAGUUAGCCAAAGUGACCGGCAGAAUUCGGGACCAGGACGACCAGAAAUUCCAGGAUAAUUGGAGUAAAUUUACUGUUUAUCUACAGGAGAACUGUAAAAACUUAAAGACGCUAGCAGGACUGAAGUAACUCCUACAAUGUAGAUAAGAUGUUAAAAAUUAAAAUAUUGGAUUUGAUAAGGGGUACCAGCUGAAGGGAAGGAGG